rnacentral:lncRNA from 1 species
UUGGCUUUUCUGACAUUCUGUCUUCUCAUUUGCAAAAUGCAGUUAACAAAUUUCUACCUCCCAGGGUUAUCCUGAUGAUUAAGUAAAAUAAUUUGGAUUAAGAAUCUCACCCAGUGCCUUUUAAUUAGGACAUGCUCAAUAAAUCUCCUCCAAUGUUGCCCCCACUCUUACCAUGUGACACACUGACUCCCCCUUUGCCUUUCACCAUGACUGAAAGCUUACUGAGGACUCACUGGAAGCUGAGCAGAUGCCAGCACCAUGCUUCCUGUAUAGCCUGUGGAACAGUGGGCCAAUUAAACAUCUUUUCUUUAUAAAUUACCCAGUCUCAGAUAUUCCUUUAAAGCAAUGCAAGAAUGAACUAACACAUCAUGAUACAAUAUAUAUUUUUCUCCCAUCCAAUCUGAACAACAAUACCAACAACAUGCUGUCUCACAAACAGCAUUAAUAACUUAAAAGGGAAAUCCUUAUAAGCAGAAACUAACUACUUUUGGAAGACUCACUCUUACACAAAGCAAACCACAGCAUUAGGAAAUGAAAGGUGGGGUCUUUUUCUCUUUAAAUGAGAUGAAAGGAAGCAUGGGGUAUUUAUGUAAAGAUUGGCUUUGUUGCAUAUGUAUUUUCAAGGAGAAAAUGUUGAAAGAUGCCAUUCCUUUGUCUAGACAUUUUAAAAAUAGAGAUGGCACACUCAUGUAUAACCCACAUUUUUUAAUGCAGCAAGCCUUGAUUGACUGUUUAUUAUUCUUUUAUUAAGUGUCUGCACCAUCUACUUUACAAUAUGGUUGACCCAGUCCCUGACUCUUGGAUGUGUGUAACCAAGCUAAUAGCACCUUAGUGAGGCAUAAGCUUUCAUGCUGAUUGUCUUCUUUCACCUUCUUGCUGCCUGACAGUACUCUUAGCCUACUUAGCUUUCUGACUAACUGAAAAAGAUAAACUUUUACAAACUUUUAAUACUUAGAAAUUAUGUAAAAUUAUGUAGAUCUUGUUACUUAGCAUGUAAUAAACAUAUCACUAUAUAAUGAAUUUGGUUUUUAAAAUAAUUUGUAUUUGAAUAAAAUUAGCUUCCUUUGUCAUUUUACAUAUUUUAUUUUGUAUAUUUAAUAACCUUAUUCUGAGAAAGUGUUCAUAGGUCUCAUUAAAGUGCCAAAGGGGCCAUGGUGCAAGAAAAGGUUAAGAACUCUAACAGCCUGUUUUGCAGUAUUUGUUUGUCUGAAAAAUAUGUUCUUUUUGCUUUCAUUUUGCUAUA